rnacentral:misc_RNA from 1 species
GAAAUGCGAUACGCAAUGCGAAUUGCAGAAUUCCGCGAGUCAUCAGAUCUUUGAACGCAAUUGGCGCUGGUGUAACAGCCAGCAUGUUUGUUUCAGUGUGUUAAGGAAUCCAAUAUCUCAAUGCGAUUGAUUUUUUUUUUUUUUAAACAAAAAAAAUAAAAUAUCUCUCGUUAAACUUGGAGGGCGUUCUGGAAACUUUCCCUCCCAUCGAAGUAGUCAGGUUAUUUUAUAUCUGAUCUCCUUGGGGUUAAAGGAAAUUUCUUUUAAUUCUUUCUGUUAAAAGAAAGAAAGCGCUCAUAUAUAUUUUAUAUAUAAAAAAAACUCCAAACGACACCUGAAAUCAAGCAAGAACACCCGCUGAACUUAA